CUUCUCCUUAAAGGGUGCAGAUUUCAGAGUGGUAGCUGUGUUAGUCUGUACCAGCAAAAAUAACAAGGAGUCCUUGUGGCACCUUAUACACUAACAAAUUUAUUUGGGCAGUGGUCACAGUGACUUCAGAACCAGCAAGUAGACCAGUAAUCAAGUGGAGUACAAGGCUGCUGCUUUAUCCCGUAGCCUGAUGUACGACUGCUUGAGUGAGAGGCUGGGUCAAAACCAGGCCUCCCUAACCGUGCUUCAGAGGGUGACGCCGCUGAAUUUAUGAGUCUGUAGAUUUUUACCUCCCUUGGCUUUCUGUUACUCCCGGGACCGGGGAAUGAGAGUUGACUGUGUUCCGCUCCCGCACGCUCCUCUCGAGUCUCCUGUUCCCGGCUCUGCACAGGGCUGCUCCGGGACCGCCGCUGAGAGCCAGGCGCCUCCGAAGGCGGCAGGGAGAACACGGGGAGAAGCAGGGUCUCGCCCUCCACCUUUCCCGCUCCCGGCACAGGCACCAGCUCAGCCCCCAGGCUGCUGAGGGCGGGAGCUCCGGGGUGAAAGCAGCCCCCUUCCCUUGACUGAGGGCGACCGCGGCCAGCUCCGGUCACGCAGCGCUGGGAUGGACCCUGCGAGGGAUGGAGGCUGAAUUCGCCGGCAGGAAGCACCUGUGUGAUGAUGAGUAGCUGUGGCGUGGGAAAGCGCCGCUGUGCUGCCGGUUCCUGCAGGCGGACCCGUCUCGGUAUCUCUGGGACAUGUGGGUGCCGGGAUCCUGAGCAAAGCCGAGAUACAGACUCAUGAGGAAGGGCCUGAAAACCUGGAGCCGCCUGACAUGUUACAAGGGGGAUCAGGAGAGACUGCUUGCCAGAGUCCUGAGCAGGAAGAAGCCUGCAAGAAGUAGAAGAGGAACCAAGUCUGGAAUGUGUCAGAUCCCUUAGGGGAGUACGAGAACAGAUUCAGACUUUCCCAGCCACUUCCACAGGGCAGACCUGGGACCAUGGGAGAUCUUAAUAGCCAAGAGAAACCCCAUAAAUGUAUAGACUGUAGGGAAAGUUUCCACGAAAAGCAGGAACUCUUGGCCCAUGGGAGAGUCCACAGGAGGGAAAGAUCCCAUCCCUGUGCUGAAUGUGGGGAGAGGUUCAAGCAUCAGUCAGAGCUUUCUAAACACCAAAGAUCCCACACGGGGGAGAGCCCCCAUUCCUGUGGAGAAUGCGGGAAGAGCUUCUGGCAUCUGGCCACGCUUGCUGCGCAUCGCCAAAUCCACAUGGGGGAGAGACACCAUCCCUGUGGUGAGUGUGGAAAGGGGUUCAGCUGCCCCUCAGAUCUCAGCGAGCACCAGAGGUUGCAUGCUGCCAAGAGGCGCUAUUCCUGCCCUGAAUGCAGGAAAGGAUUCAAUCCCCCUGCGAACUGAGCAGGCACCUGCGAAUGCACACAGGUGAGCACCCCUUCCCCUGCCCUGAGUGUGGAAAGGGAUUCAGCCAGAGCUCGGAUCUCAACAAGCACCUGCAGGUGCGCACGGGCAAGCGGCCCUAUCCCUGCACUGAGUGUGGGAGGAGCCUUAGCCAGGUCUCCGCACUCACCCUACACCAGAGAACCCACACUGGAGAAAGACCCUACAUCUGCGACGUGUGUGAAAAAAGGUACAUGCACCCAUCAAAUCUCAUUAAACACAAGAGAAUCCACAUGGGGGAGUGACCCUGGGGAAGGCUUUAGGGGGAGAAAGCCUCUGGUGUGCUGCCAGAGAAUCAGCAGCAUCAUGAUGGCAGAUCCCAAGGGACAGAGCCUCCUUGCAGAUCGAGUGCCACCCAGACUGAUUUCUAGCUACAGCCUACCAGAGAAUUGAGCUAGACAAGUGAGACCUUCCCAGACGUGGACUUUGCUCCAGACAUAUGUGUAUAAUAAUGUGAAACUGAGGAACAGGAACCACUACUACAGAGUUUGAGAGACAUUGGCCCCUGCCCCCGACUCCCACCAUCUCCUCCCAGAACCAGUGGUUUAAACCACUGGGAAAUGAGGAAGGGCUUCCUCUGAGGAGUUGUCCAGUGCCAGAAAUCCCCCAGCAGCAAUUAGUCCCUUACUUGCUUUUUAGCAGUCAGGGGGUAUCUUGUCUCUUCCCUGCAUCCGUGUGAACUCAUUUUGUUCCCUGCUCUGGCUUCCUCUGUGGCUGUGAUGGAGCCUAUCUUGGGGCUCUCUGCCUUUGGGUAAGGGAGGUUUCUUUAGGUGUGUUUGGGAUUCCCCUGGGACUUGCUAGAGUUGUGAGCAGGAGGAGGUAGAGAAAGAGUUUGUCCCAUGGGUUGGGGAGGCCCCAGCAUCCACCUGAGAGAUGGCUCCAGAAUCUUGCACCACAGAGUCAGGUAAGAUCUUUACAGAUUCCAGACCUGAUUGUCCUCUUACUCACAGCAGUUUUACAUUGUCACUCUCUUGACUUCAGUGGAGUUACUCCUGAUUUACACCAGUGGGAGUCUGAGCAGGACCAGGACCAGCAUCCCCUGGAGGCGGAGAAUAUAUUUUAUUCCUAUCAGGAUUCUCAGAGCCCCCUGCCUAAGUGAUUUGAGAUAUAGAUGUGGCCUUUGGGUAGGAUCAGGCUAUUGGUGUCUGAGGACUGUUUGGAACUUCCCAGCAGAUUUAGGAUCUCUCCUAGGUCCCUCCUCCCAUAGACUCUUCUCAUGGGAGCCAUGUAGUAGUUCUGCAUGUUAUUUUAAUCCUACACUUCUAGGACUGCUGACUAUAUUUCUGCAAUGGUAGCAAUGCUGUGACUUGCAUGGGAGGUGCUUUCAGGGUUCCUGCAGCUCAUUGGCCCAGGCAGAAAAGUUACCUGGUUCCUUUGGCAUUUAUUUUAUUUUCAGAGCAUAUUUUUUCGCAAUUCAUGUUGUGCUGAACAUGACCACAAUCCCUUCUCCUACUGCACCCUCUCCCCAAAUACUUGAUCGUGAACAAAUUACAGCCUGCCUUUUAAUGUGGAUUUGAUUGUUUGGUAUCAUUAGGCCCAAUGUUUCCUUCCCCGAUUCAUUUAAAACUCCAGUUGCUAACGGAAAAAUCAAUUACAACCCUAAGAUUAGGAGAGACCCUGAAUUUUCCCACUUUCAGUGACUUGAAAUGUUUACAAACUCUGGCUUUAUUGAAACCAGCCUAGGAAAGGGUUGUUCAAGAUUCAAAAUAAAUGACGUCUCCUCA